rnacentral:rRNA from 1 species
UGGGGAAUAUUGCACAAUGGGGGAAACCCUGAUGCAGCCAUGCCGCGUGUGUGAAGAAGGCCUUCGGGUUGUAAAGCACUUUCAGCGAGGAGGAAAGGUCAGUAGCUAAUAUCUGCUGGCUGUGACGUUACUCGCAGAAGAAGCACCGGCUAACUCCGUG